GCGGUCGUGGCGGAAUGGUAGACGCGCAGCGUUGAGGUCGCUGUGGGGUAACUCCCGUGGAAGUUCGAGUCUUCUCGACCGCA
rfam:Rhodovulum sp. NI22 contig00032, whole genome shotgun sequence.